AUUGAACGCUGGCGGCAUGCUUUACACAUGCAAGUCGAACGGUAGAGGGGGCAACCCCUUGAGAGUGGCGAACGGGUGAGUAAUGCAUCGGAACGUGCCCAGUCGUGGGGGAUAGCCCGGGGAAACCCGGAUUAAUACCGCAUACGACCUGAGGGUGAAAGCGGGGAACCGAAAGGCCUCGCGCGAUUGGAGCGGCCGAUGUCGGAUUAGGUAGUUGGUGGGGUAAAGGCCUACCAAGCCUGCGAUCCGUAGCUGGUCUGAGAGGACGACCAGCCACACUGGGACUGAGACACGGCCCAGACUCCUACGGGAGGCAGCAGUGGGGAAUUUUGGACAAUGGGCGCAAGCCUGAUCCAGCCAUGCCGCGUGCGGGAAGAAGGCCUUCGGGUUGUAAACCGCUUUUGUCAGGGAAGAAAUCCUUUGGACUAAUACUCUGGGGGGAUGACGGUACCUGAAGAAUAAACACCGGCUAACUACGUGCCAGCAGCCGCCGUAAAAC
rnacentral:rRNA from 1 species